GGAGAGGUGCCCGAGUGGCUUAAGGGGCGCGCCUGGAGAGCGCGUGUAGGUACAUUACACCUACCGUGGGUUCAAAUCCCACCCUCUCCGCCA
rnacentral:tRNA from 1 species